AGAUUGUAACGCUGGCGGCAUGCCUAACACAUGCGAAGUCGAGGCGGCGGCGCGGGGGCAACCCUGGCGGCGAGCGGCGGACGGGUGAGUAAGGCAUCGGAAUCUGCCCUGAAUGUGGGGGAUAACGUAGGGAAACUUACGCUAAUACCGCAUACGACCGAGGAGGUGAAAGCGGGGGACCGAAAGGCCUCGCGCAGCAGGAUGAAGCCGAUGUCCGAUUAGCU
rnacentral:rRNA from 1 species